rnacentral:rRNA from 1 species
AUUGAACGCUGGCGGCAGGCCUAACACAUGCAAGUCGAGCGAGUGGCGGACGGGUGAGUAAUGUAUGGGGAUCUGCACGAUAGAGGGGGAUAACUACUGGAAAAGGUGGCUAAUACCGCAUACUAUAGGGGGAGCCCUAAGGGGAUUAGCUAGGAGGUGGUGUAAAGGCUCACUUAGGCGACGAUCUCUAGCUGGUCUGAGAGGAUGACCAGCCACACUGGAACUGAGACACGGCCCAGACUCCUACGGUAGGAAGCAGUGGGGAAUAUUGGGCAAUGGGCGAAAGUCUGACCGAGCAACGCCGCGUGAGUGAAGAAGGUUUUCGGGUCGUAAACUUCGUUGGUUAGGGAGGCGGUACCUAACCAGAAAGCCACGGCUAACUCCGUGCCAGCAGCCGCGGUAAUUC